AAGUGGGGGAUUCCAAACAACAGUAUCACGUUCUUUGUGUGCCGAUUGCUAUAAAAUCUAUUUGAUACUGACAUUAAAAUUAGAACAAGACUUGUUUUGUUCAGCUAAACCUCAAAAUGAAGCUCACAUUUUCGUUUCUGUUCGCAGCUACAGUACUUGGUUUGGCGGCGUGU